GAUGAACGCUGGCGGCGUGCCUAAUACAUGCAAGUCGAGCGAACGUACGAGGAGCUUGCUCCUCUGACGUUAGCGGCGGACGGGUGAGUAACACGUGGAUAACCUACCUAUAAGACUGGGAUAACUUCGGGAAACCGGAGCUAAUACCGGAUAAUAUAUUUAACCGCAUGGUUCAAUAGUGAAAGACGGUUUUGCUGUCACUUAUAGAUGGAUCCGCGCCGCAUUAGCUAGUUGGUAAGGUAACGGCUUACCAAGGCAACGAUGCGUAGCCGACCUGAGAGGGUGAUCGGCCACACUGGAACUGAGACACGGUCCAGACUCCUACGGGAGGCAGCAGUAGGGAAUCUUCCGCAAUGGGCGAAAGCCUGACGGAGCAACGCCGCGUGAGUGAUGAAGGUCUUCGGAUCGUAAAACUCUGUUAUUAGGGAAGAACAAAUGUGUAAGUAACUAUGCACGUCUUGACGGUACCUAAUCAGAAAGCCACGGCUAACUACGUG
rnacentral:rRNA from 1 species